GCUUGCUUGUUGGGGUUGUAGGACACUCUAUACGGAGUUACAAAGGACGACAUUAGACGAAUCAUCUGGAAAGAUGAAUCAAAGAAGGUAAUAAUCCUGUAGUCGAAAAUGUUGUCUCUCUUGAGUGGAUCCUGAGUACGACGGAGCACGUGAAAUUCCGUCGGAAUCUGGGAGGACCAUCUCCUAAGGCUAAAUACUCUCUAGUGACCGAUAGUGAACCAGUACCGUGAGGGAAAGGUGAAAAGCACCCCGGAAGGGGAGUGAAAUAGAACCUGAAACCGUGUGCUUACAAGUAGUCAGAGCCCGUUAAUGGGUGAUGGCGUGCCUUUUGUAGAAUGAACCGGCGAGUUACGAUUUGAUGCAAGGUUAAGCAGUAAAUGUGGAGCCGUAGCGAAAGCGAGUCUGAAUAGGGCGUUUAGUAUUUGGUCGUAGACCCGAAACCAGGUGAUCUACCCUUGGUCAGGUUGAAGUUCAGGUAACACUGAAUGGAGGACCGAACCGACUUACGUUGAAAAGUGAGCGGAUGAACUGAGGGUAGCGGAGAAAUUCCAAUCGAACCUGGAGAUAGCUGGUUCUCUCCGAAAUAGCUUUAGGGCUAGCCUCAAGUGAUGAUUAUUGGAGGUAGAGCACUGUUUGGACGAGGGGCCCCUCUCGGG
rnacentral:rRNA from 1 species